AAUGAACGCUGGCGGCAUGCCUAACACAUGCAAGUCGAACGAAGGCUUCGGCCUUAGUGGCGCACGGGUGCGUAACGCGUGGGAAUCUGCCCCUUGGUUCGGAAUAACAGUUAGAAAUGACUGCUAAUACCGGAUGAUGACGUAAGUCCAAAGAUUUAUCGCCGAGGGAUGAGCCCGCGUAGGAUUAGCUAGUUGGUGUGGUAAGAGCGCACCAAGGCGACGAUCCUUAGCUGGUCUGAGAGGAUGAUCAGCCACACUGGGACUGAGACACGGCCCAGACUCCUACGGGAGGCAGCAGUGGGGAAUAUUGGACAAUGGGCGAAAGCCUGAUCCAGCAAUGCCGCGUGAGUGAUGAAGGCCUUAGGGUUGUAAAGCUCUUUUACCCGGGAUGAUAAUGACAGUACCGGGAGAAUAAGCUCCGGCUAACUCCGUGCCAGCAGCCGCGGUAAUACGGAGGGAGCUAGCGUUAUUCGGAAUUACUGGGCGUAAAGCGCACGUAGGCGGCUUUGUAAGUAAGAGGUGAAAGCCCAGAGCUCAACUCUGGAAUUGCCUUUUAGACUGCAUCGCUUGAAUCAUGGAGAGGUCAGUGGAAUUCCGAGUGUAGAGGUGAAAUUCGUAGAUAUUCGGAAGAACACCAGUGGCGAAGGCGGCUGACUGGACAUGUAUUGACGCUGAGGUGCGAAAGCGUGGGGAGCAAACAGG
rnacentral:rRNA from 1 species